CGCCAGUUUAGAGAGACGUAAUUAUCGUCCCCCAGCUUCCUACAAGCUUUUUUGUGAUUUAUAUAAAGAAUUUACGUGCUCGAGAUGUGGGAAAUGAUGGACAAUUCAUUGCGAAAUUAGCUCUAUCAGCAGCAAAACCGAGGAUCCAGAUGGAGGAGGGUGAGGCUGCCCUGGAGAGUUGGGACACACUAGAGAUUCAAUAUAACUACUGCAUAUGUAUCCUAGAGGUUAUCGGCAUUUCUAUCAGGUGGCGUAUGAGGUACUUUCCCUAUUCUAGAGAGGAUAGUAUUUCUUGUUGGUUAGAUUAGAAUAUAUUAUGGGUAGA
rnacentral:sRNA from 1 species